GUAACAAAGCAGAAGCCACUCGCUUCUCACCUUGCGGCAAACGCUCGACAGGGUUGGAUAUGAUAUUCAUGCGGGUGGAAUUUGUUCUGCCCGCUUUUUUAUUUUGCU
rfam:Phascolarctobacterium sp. YIT 12067 genomic scaffold Scfld59, whole genome shotgun sequence.